CCGGACCGGCGCACGGGUGAGCAACACGUAUGCAACCUGGCCGCCACAGGGGGAUAACCCGCGGAAACGCGGCCUAAUACCCCGUGACGCCACCGGAGGGCAUCCUCCGGUGGCCAAAGGAGCGAUCCGGUGGCGGAUGGGCAUGCGGCGCAUUAGCUAGACGGCGGGGUGACGGCCCACCGUGGCGACGAUGCGUAGGGGUUCUGAGAGGAAGGCCCCCCACACUGGGACUGAGACACGGCCCAGACUCCUACGGAAGGCAGCAG
rnacentral:rRNA from 1 species